UGUUCGUCGACAAGAUAUCAGAGGAAGAAGAUAAAUUGGUUCUCAAGUUUUCGAUUCGAGCUUUUUAUAGAUCUUAAUACCAAAACGCAUCGUUUCUGUCUUUAGAACGACCGUUGGGCGAUUCCGACACCAUCUCCAAUCCGAGUCCCGGAGAAAUCUAGCUCUGUGCCCUUUCUCUUUCAAAAAGAUCGUUUCUCUCGAUUCUUCGUUUCAUCGAACGCACGUCGAUUUUCUUCAAAAUUUCUGAAAUCAGAGAUUAAAUGGCUUUCUCAACGUCUUACAAAACAGCACAAAGAGAUUGGUAUAAGGUUCAGGAUACGAAGCUUCUUGUUUCGCAUGAUGUAGUGGAAAAAGGCCACGAGUUUGAGUCACUCUUAGGUUUUUAUGACCCUGGGAAGAAAUUAAUGGUGAAGCGGAUGGCGAGAUCUGAUGAGAACAAAGAAAGAAUGCAGAGAGAAUACACAAAUUUGGAAGCCUUCCAAAAACAUCCUAACAUUCUCGAGUGGGUUACUUUUGAUGAAGAUGACAGUUUUCUGUAUUUGUCUCAAGAGCGAUGGAGUUUCAGCUUAGAGGAGCUGGUGAAAUACUUUCGCAGCAGUCAACACACACAAAGUCCACAACAACCUCCAGAACAUCUUGAUACAUAUAUCAAGAAUACGGGUAUGAUUCUAGACAAACCUUCUAUUGGUCGUGUCAUGUUGGAUUUGAUGGAACAAGUUGCUAGUGGUUUGAAGCAUCUUCAAAAGAUAGGGUAUGUUCAUCGAGAUUUGAACCCCAAAAAUAUAGUCAUAGUGUGUGGAACGGAAUUUAUGACUGCAAAGAUUGCCAACUUCUGCACCGCCCAAGAUAGCAACAUGCCAUCUCCGCAUAAACACAAAACAAUAAGCCAUUAUCACACGGGUUUUCAACCUCAAGAACAGAUAAAAAACAAUGAACAGAGGAAGCCGUUUGAGACUAGUCAAGGGACAUCCAAGCCUAAGAAACCUUCUCCAGAAACUAAAGAUGCAGACUUGUUUAGUUUUGGUUGUAUACUGUUCUACUCUUUAACUCUAGAACAGGAAAAACAAUCCAUCCAAACCAUUUUCAAGAUGUUCGUGCAUUGAUUAGGUUGAUUAGAAACCAGUAUAGUCACUUCCGUGAACUAUCUACAAACAUCCAGAUCCAGGCACUUUAUAAGGGGACACUUGAAGGAAUGGAGGAAUAUUACAGUGGGAUAUUUCCUGGAUUGCUGACGACUGUCUAUAAGGAAGUCUGGUUAGUAAUGCGUAAGCCUGUAGCAGGUUAUGAAGAGUUUUUGAGAGAGUACUAUUAUUGAAAUAGAUGUCUGAUAAGGUUCCGUUAGGAAGGUGAUCUUGAUGAUAUGGAACAACCAAAAGGUUCCAAAGUGGUGGCUUUGAAGCGCAAAUGAGACUGAUCACUAGUAGACAUUCAACUUGAUGACAGAUAUAUGGUCGCAGAUUUUUUUAUUGGAGAAUAUAUUCUAACGGACUCCGUAUUUGUAGUAACGACAACUCCUAGAUUUAUGUUUCUUGUUCACUAGGUUCUACAUAUGUAAUCUCCUCAACUCUUAAUGAAGAGAUACAGAAACCUUUUCACGCAUCUGACUCUCUCUUUAUUUUUCUCUCUUACAAUUCCCUUUUAAAAUAAAUAAACCAAACAUGGUUAUGGAUUUUUAAAA